rnacentral:rRNA from 1 species
GUCUUUUUAAUAUAUUUUAAAGUCUGGUCUGCUCACUGAUUAAUUAAAGAGCCGCAGUAUACUGACUGUGCAAAGGUAGCAUAAUCAAUAGUUUCUUAAUUGGAAUCUAGAAUGAAAGAUUAGACAAGGAAUUUAUUUUCUUUAUUUUAUUUAUUGAAUUUUAAUUUUAAGUGAAAAUGCUUAAUUUAACUUAUGGGACGAGAAGACCCUAUAGAUUUUUAUUGUUUAUUUAAAUUUUAUAUUUUAAUUUAUUAAAAUAAUUUAAUUGGGGCGAUUUUGUAAAAUAAAAAACUUAAUUUUUUAAUACCAUAAAUUAUUGAAUUUUUUGAUCUGAAAUUUUUAAAGAAAGAUUAAAUUACCUUAGGGAUAACAGCGUAAUUUUAUUUACGAGUUCAUAUCUAUAAUAAAGUUUGCGACCUCGAUGUUGAAUUAAGAUAAUGUAUUGAGUAGAAAUUAAUAUAAUUAGUCUGUUCGACUAUUAAAAACU